AACAAACGCUGGCGGCGUGCCUAAUACAUGCAAGUCGAACGGGGUAGCAAUACCUAGUGGCGCACGGGUGAGGAACGCGUGGAUAAUCUGCCUUAGAGUGGGGGAUAACUAGUCGAAAGAUUAGCUAAUACCGCAUAAGACCACAGGAGCUGCGGCUCUAGGGGUCAAAGGUUUUUCGCUCUAAGAUGAGUCCGCGUAAGAUUAACUAGUUGGUGAGGUAACGGCUCACCAAGGCGACGAUCUUUAACUGGUCUGAGAGGAUGAUCAGUCACACUGGAACUGAGACACGGUCCAGACUCCUACGGGAGGCAGCAGUAGGGAAUAUUGCACAUUGGAGGAAACUCUGAUGCAGCGACGCCGCGUGAGUGAUGAAGGCCUUCGGGUCGUAAAGCUCUGUCGCAGGGGAAUAACACAAUGAAUGUACCCUGUAAGAAAGGAUCGGCUAAACUCGUGCCAGCCGCCGCCGUAACAC
rnacentral:rRNA from 1 species